AUCAAAACUGCACCUCUUGCAUUGCAGAUGGAUUUAUUACUGCUGAGCCAUACAGAGAUAAAAUGUCAAGCUUAUUUUAAGCAAAAUUUGACCUCAGUAACAAUGAACCUCCAGAAGAUUGAAAAGUCUAUGAAGAAAAUAAUGGGCAAAGAAUAAUGAGAUUUCUAAUGUCAAACGCCCUCAUCUUUCCCUGUACGUACAUCAUCCAUUAUCCAGUCUUCACUCCUUCUUUGGGGAGAAGUCAGAUCUGCAACUCAUUAAGAAAGCCGCCACGCACAGAGUGUUGAGAGACUGUGGAACUGACUGAUGGAAGGUGACCCAGUAGAAGGCUGUCCUUUUUUGUAGGGGGCAGGUACUGUGAUUCCCUCCUUGGGGAAUUGAGUAAAGAACCCUGUAGAGAUUUGGGCUCACAACACAGAGCAGGCAUCCCUGUUGGCUCAGUGGUAAAGAAUCCGCCUGCAAUGCAAGAGAUGUAGGUUUGAUCUC